rnacentral:rRNA from 2 species
GUGCUGUGAGGCAUGCUGGAGGUAUCAGAAGUGCGAAUGCUGACAUAAGUAACGAUAAAGCGGGUGAAAAGCCCGCUCGCCGGAAGACCAAGGGUUCCUGUCCAACGUUAAUCGGGGCAGGGUGAGUCGACCCCUAAGGCGAGGCCGAAAGGCGUAGUCGAUGGGAAACAGGUUAAUAUUCCUGUACUUGGUGUUACUGCGAAGGGGGGACGGAGAAGGCUAUGUUGGCCGGGCGACGGUUGUCCCGGUUUAAGCGUGUAGGCUGGUUUUCCAGGCAAAUCCGGAAAACUAAGGCUGAGGCGUGAUGACGAGGCACUACGGUGCUGAAGCAACAAAUGCCCUGCUUCCAGGAAAAGCCUCUAAGCAUCAGGUAACAUCAAAUCGUACCCCAAACCGACACAGGUGGUCAGGUAGAGAAUACCAAGGCGCUUGAGAGAACUCGGGUGAAGGAACUAGGCAAAAUGGUGCCGUAACUUCGGGAGAAGGCACGCUGAUAUGUAGGUGAAGUCCCUCGCGGAUGGAGCUGAAAUCAGUCGAAGAUACCAGCUGGCUGCAACUGUUUAUUAAAAACACAGCACUGUGCAAACACGAAAGUGGACGUAUACGGUGUGACGCCUGCCCGGUGCCGGAAGGUUAAUUGAUGGGGUCAGCGCAAGCGAAGCUCUUGAUCGAAGCCCCGGUAAACGGCGGCCGUAACUAUAACGGUCCUAAGGUAGCGAAAUUCCUUGUCGGGUAAGUUCCGACCUGCACGAAUGGCGUAAUGAUGGCCAGGCUGUCUCCACCCGAGACUCAGUGAAAUUGAACUCGCUGUGAAGAUGCAGUGUACCCGCGGCAAGACGGAAAGACCCCGUGAACCUUUACUAUAGCUUGACACUGAACAUUGAGCCUUGAUGUGUAGGAUAGGUGGGAGGCUUUGAAGUGUGGACGCCAGUCUGCAUGGAGCCGACCUUGAAAUACCACCCUUUAAUGUUUGAUGUUCUAACGUUGACCCGUAAUCCGGGUUGCGGACAGUGUCUGGUGGGUAGUUUGACUGGGGCGGUCUCCUCCUAAAGAGUAACGGAGGAGCACGAAGGUUGGCUAAUCCUGGUCGGACAUCAGGAGGUUAGUGCAAUGGCAUAAGCCAGCUUGACUGCGAGCGUGACGGCGCGAGCAGGUGCGAAAGCAGGUCAUAGUGAUCCGGUGGUUCUGAAUGGAAGGGCCAUCGCUCAACGGAUAAAAGGUACUCCGGGGAUAACAGGCUGAUACCGCCCAAGAGUUCAUAUCGACGGCGGUGUUUGGCACCUCGAUGUCGGCUCAUCACAUCCUGGGGCUGAAGUAGGUCCCAAGGGUAUGGCUGUUCGCCAUUUAAAGUGGUACGCGAGCUGGGUUUAGAACGUCGUGAGACAGUUCGGUCCCUAUCUGCCGUGGGCGCUGGAGAACUGAGGGGGGCUGCUCCUAGUACGAGAGGACCGGAGUGGACGCAUCACUGGUGUUCGGGUUGUCAUGCCAAUGGCACUGCCCGGUAGCUAAAUGCGGAAGAGAUAAGUGCUGAAAGCAUCUAAGCACGAAACUUGCCCCGAGAUGAGUUCUCCCUGACUCCUUGAGAGUCCUGAAGGAACGUUGAAG